rnacentral:rRNA from 1 species
UACGGGGGGGGCAAGCGUUGUUCGGAAUUACUGGGCGUAAAGGCUCGUAGGCGGCCAACUAAGUCGGACGUGAAAUCCCUCGGCUUAACCGGGGAACUGCGUCCGAUACUGGAUGGCUUGAGUUCGGGAGAGGGAUGCGGAAUUCCAGGUGUAGCGGUGAAAUGCGUAGAUAUCAGGAGGAACACCAGUGGCGAAGGCGGCUUUCUGGACGGUAACUGACGCUGAGACGCGAAAGCGUGGGGAGCAAACAGG